GAUGAACGCUGGCGGCGUGCCUAAUACAUGCAAGUCGAGCGAACAGACGAGGAGCUUGCUCCUCUGACGUUAGCGGCGGACGGGUGAGUAACACGUGGAUAACCUACCUAUAAGACUGGGAUAACUUCGGGAAACCGGAGCUAAUACCGGAUAAUAUAUUGAACCGCAUGGUUCAAUAGUGAAAGACGGUUUUGCCGUCACUUAUAGAUGGAUCCGCGCCGCAUUAACUAGUUGGUAAGGUAACGGCUUACCAAGGCAACGAUGCGUAGCCGACCUAGGAGGGUGAUCGGCCACACUGGAACUGAGACACGGUCCAGACUCCUACGGGAGGCAGCAGUAGGGAAUCUUCCGCAAUGGGCGAAAGCCUGACGGAGCAACGCCGCGUGAGUGAUGAAGGUCUUCGGAUCGUAAAACUCUGUUAUUAGGGAAGAACAAAUGUGUAAGUAACUAUGCACGUCUUGACGGUACCUAAUCAGAAAGCCACGGCUAACUACGUG
rnacentral:rRNA from 1 species